GCACCAAUAGCUCAGCUGGGAGAGCGCCAGACUGAAGUCAAAACUUCAGUACAGACUAGUAGUUGAUCUGGAGGUCAGGCGUUCGAUCCGCCUUUGGGGCA